CUCUUCGGAGGUUAGCGGCGGANGGGUGAGUAACACGUGGGCAACCUGCCUGUAAGACUGGGAUAACUCCGGGAAACCGGAGCUAAUACCGGAUAGUAUCUUGAACCGCAUGGUUCAAGUUGGAAAGACNGNNNNNNCUGUCACUUACAGAUGGGCCCGCGGCGCAUUAGCUAGUUGGUGAGGUAAUGGCUCACCAAGGCAACGAUGCGUAGCCGACCUGAGAGGGUGAUCGGCCACACUGGGACUGAGACACGGCCCAGACUCCUACGGGAGGCAGCAGUAGGGAAUCUUCCGCAAUGGACGAAAGUCUGACGGAGCAACGCCGCGUGAGUGAUGAAGGUUUUCGGAUCGUAAAACUCUGUUGUUAGGGAAGAACAAGUGCGAGAGUAACUGCUCGCACCUUGACGGUACCUAACCAGAAAGCCACGGCUAACUACGUGCCAGCAGCCGCGGUAAUACGUAGGUGGCAAGCGUUGUCCGGAAUUAUUGGGCGUAAAGCGCGCGCAGGCGGUUUCUUAAGUCUGAUGUGAAAGCCCCCGGCUCAACCGGGGAGGGUCAUUGGAAACUGGGAAACUUGAGUGCAGAAGAGGAGAGUGGAAUUCCACGUGUAGCGGUGAAAUGCGUAGAGAUGUGGAGGAACACCAGUGGCGAAGGCGACUCUCUGGUCUGUAACUGACGCUGAGGCGCGAAAGCGUGGGGAGCGAACAGGAUUAGAUACCCUGGUAGUCCACGCCGUAAACGAUGAGUGCUAAGUGUUAGAGGGUU
rnacentral:rRNA from 1 species